rnacentral:rRNA from 1 species
AGAGUUUGAUCCUGGCUCAGGAUGAACGCUAGCGACAGGCUUAACACAUGCAAGUCGAGGGGCAGCGGAGGUAAAGGCUUGCCUUUACCUGCCGGCGACCGGCGCACGGGUGAGUAACACGUAUGCAACCUGGCCGUCACAGGAGGAUAACCGGGAGAAAUUCCGCCUAAUACUCCAUAACACUUUCCGGGGACAUCCCCGGGAAGUCAAAGGAAUUUAUUCCGGUGACGGAUGGGCAUGCGGCGCAUUAGCUAGUCGGCGGGGUAACGGCCCACCGAGGCGACGAUGCGUAGGGGUUCUGAGAGGAAGGUCCCCCACAUUGGAACUGAGACACGGUCCAAACUCCUACGGGAGGCAGCAGUGAGGAAUAUUGGUCAAUGGGCGGAAGCCUGAACCAGCCAAGUCGCGUGAGGGAAUAAGGCCCUAAGGGUCGUAAACCUCUUUUGCCGGGGAGCAAUGGUUCGCUUGCGAGCGGACAGGGAGAGUACCCGGAGAAAAAGCAUCGGCUAACUCCGUGCCAGCAGCCGCGGUAAUACGGAGGAUGCGAGCGUUAUCCGGAUUUAUUGGGUUUAAAGGGUGCGUAGGCGGACCAUCAAGUCAGCGGUCAAAAGUCGGGGCUCAACCCCGUAAAGCCGUUGAAACUGGCGGUCUGGAGUGAGCGAGAAGCAGGCGGAAUGCGUGGUGUAGCGGUGAAAUGCAUAGAUAUCACGCAGAACCCCGAUUGCGAAGGCAGCCUGCCGGCGCUCAACUGACGCUGAGGCACGAAAGUGCGGGGAUCGAACAGGAUUAGAUACCCUGGUAGUCCGCACAGUAAACGAUGAAUGCUAGCUGUCCGGUCCGAAUGAGGAUUGGGUGGCACAGCGAAAGCGUUAAGCAUUCCACCUGGGGAGUACGCCGGCAACGGUGAAACUCAAAGGAAUUGACGGGGGCC